rnacentral:rRNA from 1 species
GACGAACGCUGGCGGCAUGCCUAACACAUGCAAGUCGAGCGAGUGGAGUUCUUCGGAACAAAGCUAGCGGCGGACGGGUGAGUAACACGUGGGCAACCUGCCUCAUAGAGGGGAAUAGCCUCCCGAAAGGGAGAUUAAUACCGCAUAAGAUUGUAGCUUCGCAUGAAGUAGCAAUUAAGGGAGCAAUCCGCUAUGAGAUGGGCCCGCGGCGCAUUAGCUAGUUGGUGAGGUAACGGCUCACCAAGGCGACGAUGCGUAGCCGACCUGAGAGGGUGAUCGGCCACAUUGGGACUGAGACACGGCCCAGACUCCUACGGGAGGCAGCAGUGGGGAAUAUUGCACAAUGGGGGAAACCCUGAUGCAGCAAUGCCGCGUGAGUGAUGACGGCCUUCGGGUUGUAAAGCUCUGUCUUCGGGGACGAUAAUGACGGUACCCGAGGAGGAAGCCACGGCU